AGAAUCAUGUCUCAGAUUAGCCAUGCAUGUCUCAGUAUAAGCUUCUAUACGGCGAAACUGCGAAUGGCUCAUUAAAACAGUUAUAGUUUAUUUGGUGGUCAGCAAUUACAUGGAUAACCGUGGUAAUUCUAGAGCUAAUACAUGCGCCCAAACCCGACUUCGUGGAAGGGUUGUGUUUAUUAGAUACAGAACCAACCCAGGCUCCGCCUGGCCUUGAGGUGAUUCAUAAUAACCGAACGAAUCGCAUGGCUAUGCCGGCGAUAGACCAUUCAAGUUUCUGACCUAUCAGCUAUCGUCGGUAGGGUAUUGGCCUACCGUGGCAAUGACGGGUAACGGAGAAUUAGGGUUCGAUUCCGGAGAGGGAGCCUGAGAAACGGCUACCACAUCUAAGGAAGGCAGCAGGCGCGCAAAUUACCCAAUCCUGACGCAGGGAGGUAGUGACAAGAAAUAACAAUACAGGGCAUACAUGUCUUGUAAUUGGAAUGAGUAAACUUUAAAUC
rnacentral:rRNA from 1 species